rfam:Picea glauca, whole genome shotgun sequence.
UAUUAUGUACAUGCUUAAAACAUGGCGUUCAUGCACUGAAUCCCAUUAGAACUCUACAACUAAGAACACUUGGGCUAGAGUAAUACUGCAAUGGGUGACCACCCGGGAAGUCCUAGUAUUUGACAUAC